UUCUAAUUAUAAUCAAAAGUGUUUUUAUCAUAAUUUUGCUAGGUUGAUAGGUUGAUCCCAGGUGGAAAGAGUUUGAUGUCUAUGCAUGAUUCAGGAGUUUGAUGUCCAUCCGUGUUUGAGCUCCUGAUUGCCAAAAAGAGGAAGUCCACCUACAAGAAUUUUGACAUUCAAUUAUCCACGCGCCCGACAUCACGCGAACUUGACAUCUGUUGGAUAUGUGCCCGACGUCACGCAACGUCGGGUAUCCCCCCUUUUAUAGGGCAUAACAGCACCGCGACAUGACAUUGUUUCUCUUCUUCGUGAGGUGACCUCUGCGUUCCGCCGGCCAUCGCAACCUCCAUAGGGUUUUCUUCCCCUUUGCACCGUGAAUUUCGCCUCCUCCUCCUUCAUCUGCAUCCUUGAACUUGCUACUAGAGCGCCAGUUGAACGUCGGGUGCUGAUCAAACAAACGUAAAGGGACGUCGGGCACCUUAUUUCCGACGUUAGCUAACAUCAGUUUUAUUUUCAAACGUUAAUUUUAACGUCACCAUAUAUGAUGUCAGUAUUUUUACAAAUGUCAAAAGCUGAAAAUAACAGACGUUAUAGGCACUUUUUGUGUUAGUGUUAUGUCAUUUUGGGUCUGACAAUAACAAUAUAUUUUGGGUUGGGUAUGCAGAUAAGCCCCUGAGCUCGAAAGUUAACUUUUGCAGGUGGAUCAAGUUAUUAA